CACAAUAAGGGCGUAUGGAGGAUGCCUUGACAUUAAGAGGCGAUGAAGGUCGUGGCGUGACUGCGAUAAGCUUCGGGGAGCCGUCUAGCGGGCUUUGAUCCGGAGAUGACCGAAUGGGGCAACCCAAUUGAGCAAACCUCAAUUACCCCGCCUAGGCGGGGAGUGCACCUGGCGAAGUGAAACAUCUCAGUAGCCAGAGGAAGAGAAACCGCAAGGAUUCCGUAAGUAGCGGCGAGCGAAAUCGGAACAGCCUAAACCCGUUGUUGGAUUAGUUUACUAACUCAAUGACGGGGGUAAUAGGGAAGAACAUUACUAUGAGACGUGAGAUGUGGGAUGUGAGACGUGAGAACUUAAACUUCUCAUCUCUAAUCUCUCACCUCUCAUUUCCCAUAGUAAAAGAGUUACAAAAUUGAAAGUUAGCAAAAUGGCCUUGGAAUAGCCAACCAAAGAAGGUGACAGUCCUGUAAGCAAAAAUUUUCAAUCUCUUGUUCUAAGAUAAUUAGUCAAAAACUUUUUAAAAAGUUUUUGACUAAUUAUCUCCCCUGAGUAGCCCGGGAUAAGAAUGUCCUGGGUGAAUUUGUCCGUACUACCGGAUAAGGCUAAAUACUCUUAAUGAUCGAUAGUGAACCAGUACCGUGAGGGAAAGGUGAAAAGCACCCCGGUGAGGGGAGUGAAAUAGUAACUGAAACCAUAUGCCUACAAAGAGCCGGAGUCCCGCCUCGGCGGGAUGACGGUGUGCCUAUUGAAGAAUGACCCAACGAGUUUAUCUAAUCUGCUUCUAUAAGUUCUUACGGAACGUAUGGGCAGGGAAACCGAGUGUUAAAAGCGCGUAUUAGAACUAAAUAAAAUUUUCUUUAAUUAGAAAGUUUUAAUAGUUCUAAGUGCAGGUUGGAUAAGACCCGAAGCCAGAGCGAGCUAACCAUGACCAGGGUGAAGGCCGUCGAAAGACGGCUGGAGGCCCGAACCGAUAGAUAGCGCAAUAUCUCCGGAUGAGUUGUGGUUAGAAGUGAAAAGCUUAUCGAGCCUGGUAAUAGCUGGUUCUCCCCGAAAUGCCUUUAGGGGCAGCGCCACAUAGUAGUAGAGGGGGUAGAGCACUGAAUGGUUUGCCGUGCCCUUUCGGGUAGGUUUACCAAACAAACUCCGAAUACCUCUAUGUAAUGUGUGGCAGUGAGUACGCGAGGGCAAAGCUUCGUGUACGCGAGGGAAAGAGCCCAGAUCACCGCUUAAGGUCCCCAAAUGUAAACUAAGUGACAAGGAAGUAUUUCGCCUUAGACAGGUAGGAGGUUGGCUUAGAAGCAGCCACCCUUUAAAGAGUGCGUAACAGCUCACUACUCGAUCCCCGACUUCGGUCGGGGGAGGCGCGAUGCGCCGAAAAUGUAACGGGGCUAAGUUUACUACCGAAAGCGUGGGUGCGCGCAGCGCACGAUAUUUAAAUAUUUAAACGUUUAAAUGUCGCGCGCUGCGCGCGCGGUAGGGGAGCAUUUUGAACUGCUGUGAAGGUACUCUGUGAAGGGUGCUGGAGCGUUCAGAAGGGAGAAUGUUGGGAUGAGUAACCGCAAGUCCGGUGAAAGACCGGACCGCCGUAAGCCCAAGGUUUCCUCC
rnacentral:rRNA from 1 species